UCAGAGUAAGACAGGUCAGACAGAGGGUUCAGAGUAAGACAGGUCAGAUAGAGGGUUGAGAGUGAGACAGGUCAGACAGGGUUCAGAGUGAGACAGGUCGCAAAGACAAUUCUGAGUGAGACAUGUCAGACAGACGGGUCAAAGCAAGACAGGUCAGUCGGGUCAGAGUAAGAUGCGUCAGCAUAGAAACAGUUAUUGUGUCUUCGAUAACAUUCUCUAUAUG